CUGAAGCGAAAGCGAAGGCUUUUAGAGCUAAAUGCUUGUACAUUCAUCGUUUCCAAAUGCAGUAGUAAAUUAAUAGUAAAAGCUCGACUUUUGAAAUUAAUACCUGAGUUGGCUUGCUAUUCUUUGUAGGGGGGCCGAUUUUACCCAACAUGUGCUAAUUUUAGUGAAGAGAGAAAUCUUCCAGCUUCUAGAUGAAAUGAAAUAAAAAAGCGAGUAAGAGAGAAGAAAUGUGUUGCUUUUUUUUAUUACAGCACUAAGAGAAAUUCAAUGAAGAUGGGAUGAAUGUUAUGGACUAGUAUUAAAUAUAAGAAUCUCGACGCUAAAAAAAUACUGUUUGUUAGAAUACG